rnacentral:sRNA from 1 species
UGGUUUGGGUUAACUGCUCUAAUAAGGAGAGUCAGCUACUUGGAUUAACAAGAGUGAUCAAAAUGAAUAAGAAAAUCCAAGUAUUUUAGGGUAUCCAUGAGUUCAAAUUUUGAUGCAGAACUGAUAAUUAAAGAUCUAAUUCAGGUUCAAAUUGAUAGGGAAUGGUAUCAGAUCAUGACAGUGUGGUCGAGUAGAGCAAUCUAGGCAUGGUUCAGUUUUACUUCAAUUUCAUUGACUACGCAACAAACAACUAGCAACGAGGGCACAGAGUUGAUCUUGUGAACCAAAAUGCUUACAAGGCUAUCUCAUCAUUAUCCCCUAUGCAUAUGCAACAAUCCAAAAUGAAACACUCUAGACUCGAUCCUAAAUGUAAUGCAACUACAUAAAC